rnacentral:rRNA from 1 species
UACGUAGGGGGCAAGCGUUAUCCGGAUUUACUGGGUGUAAAGGGAGCGCAGGCGGAAGGCUAAGUCUGAUGUGAAAACCCGGGGCUCAACCCCGGGACUGCAUUGGAAACUGGUCAUCUUGAGUAUCGGAGAGGCAAGUGGAAUUCCUAGUGUAGCGGUGAAAUGCGUAGAUAUUAGGAGGAACACCAGUGGCGAAGGCGGCUUGCUGGACGAUAACUGACGCUGAGGCGCGAAAGCGUGGGGAGCAAAC